rnacentral:lncRNA from 1 species
UUGUAUCCGACGCAUUCACCUUAAUCUGCAAUGUUUUAUCAUGAUAUAGCAAGGGUGAGCAUGAAAGUUGCCCAGCAAGUUUAAAUACAAUUUAAGGAUAUAUCAUGAUUGAAAGAGUAUGAAUAAGAAGCUGGCUAUAAUUCGCAAUGUAGUUGUGAAUUAGCAUGAACAAAAACUUUUGACUGAACAAGUAUUACAUAUGAACAAUAUAUAUCCGGACCAACUGGUACUGAAGGUGAUCAGCCUUUCAUACCUGACUUAUACAUGCAAUAUAUACAGAGUACAAUUCAACAUGGCAAUCAGCAAUGAUUAACCAUAUGCAUAUCUGAAUAAAACACUCUUAGUAGAGUUAAGUAGAACUUGCCUGAACCGUUGAUUACCGAUAUGAAAUAUAACUUAGCUUAUCCGAAGACCUAAUACAGAUAAUACCGAUCUCCAAAUAUUAGAAUAAUAUCAUCACAGUAUAAAAUAACAUAAACACAUUACCAC